AAUCAACGCUGGCGGCGUGCCUCAGACAUGCAAGUCGAACGAUUAAAGCUCCCUUCGGGGAGUGCAUAGAGUGGCGCACGGGUGAGUAACACGUAAGUAAUCUACCCUCGAGUGGGGAAUAACGUCCGGAAACGGACGCUAAUACCGCAUAAUGCAGCGGCACCGCAAGGUGACAGUUGUUAAAGAUUUAUCGCUUGAGGAGGGGCUUGCGGCAGAUUAGCUAGUUGGUAAGGUAAUGGCUUACCAAGGCUACGAUCUGUAACCGGUCUAAGAGGACGGUCGGUCACACUGACACUGAAUAACGGGUCAGACUCCUACGGGAGGCAGCAGUCGGGAAUUUUGGGCAAUGGGCGAAAGCCUGACCCAGCAACGCCGCGUGAAGGAUGAAGUAUUUCGGUAUGUAAACUUCGAAGGAAUGGGAAGAAUCAAUGACGGUACCAUUUAUAAGGUCCGGCUAACUACGUGCCAGCCGCCGCGGUAAUAC
rnacentral:rRNA from 1 species